CUUCCUGCUUUUUUUGCAACCCAGCCGUUAGUCAGAUCCCCAGACGUGAAAUGGGACGCACUGCGCGCUGCGUGUUGCUGCUUGUGGGGAUUCUCUGAUGAACACGGCCGCGUGAAUCCGCACCGAGGACAUAACUACCCUGGGGGCCGUGCUCCAGUUAAACAGAGCACGUGCAGAAGGGUACUCAGGCUGCAAUAACGGCCUCCCAUCCUUGACCCGAUCCUCAGCACCUCCGGCUGAUCCCUGCGGAUCGGUGGAAUGACUCCUGCUUGUUUUUUGCGAAAGCAGAGGUUAGCUUCGUAACGGAUUUAUGAAAUAAAAAUGAAGUUGGCAAGAACUCACCAGACCCAAGGCCAGGCCGGAGAAAAGUGUUGCCAGGGCGAAGAUGGUGUACGACCCCCACACCGGGAUGCCGAUCUGCUCGGUGAGGUAGUUAUGGCAGUGC